UACGGAGGGUGCGAGCGUUGUCCGGAAUCAUUGGGCGUAAAGGGCGCGUAGGUGGCUUCUUAAGCGUGCGGUGAAAGCCUGGGGCUCAACCCCGGGUCGGCCGUGCGAACUGGGGGGCUGGAGCACUGUAGAGGCAGGCGGAAUUCCGGGUGUAGCGGUGGAAGUGCGUAGAGAUCCGGGAAGAACACCGGUGGCGAAGGGCGGCCUGCUGGG
rnacentral:rRNA from 1 species